rnacentral:rRNA from 1 species
GGGCCCGCACAAGCGGUGGAGCAUGUGGUUUAAUUCGAUGAUACGCGAGGAACCUUACCAGGGCUUAAAUGUAGUGGGACAGGUCUAGAGAUAGACCCUUCUUCGGACUCAUUACAAGGUGCUGCAUGGUUGUCGUCAGCUCGUGCCGUGAGGUGUCAGGUUAAGUCCUAUAACGAGCGCAACCCCUGUCGUUAGUUACCAGCAAUUAAAGUUGGGUACUCUAGCGAGACUGCCGGUGCAAACCGUGAGGAAGGUGGGGAUGACGUCAAAUCAUCACGGCCCUUACGUCCUGGGCUACACACGUGCUACAAUGGCCGGUACAGAGAGCAGCCACUACGCGAGUAGGAGCGAAUCUUCAAAGCCGGUCUCAGUUCGGAUCGCAGUCUGCAACUCGACUGCGUGAAGUCGGAAUCGCUAGUAAUCG